AGAAAUGACUCAAUUAAAGAAGUGGAACCUGAGCAGUGUGCAUAAAGGUAAUUGUUGGAUACAAAUAGGUAGAGGAAUUCCUAAGCAAGAUGAUAGAAUAUAUAAGCAUAUUAUAUUUUCCUUCCACUUCCUUUAAAAAAACUUAUGAUGAUCAGAUAGUAACAAUAAUAAUUUAAAAAACUGCUAUGGACCAGGCAUAAUGAUACUUUGCGUAGACACAAGAUUAUAUGUUUAAAAACUAUGAAAUCCUUCAGUUUACUUUAAGCUCAAUAUCAGAGAAGUAGCUUGCUAUCUCUAGCUACAUAUAGAAUGAGUACAUUUAUUUGCAGUCAGUUCCUCUAGUUUAUAGCAAUGCUUUCCAUUGUUUUGCUUUGAUCUGAAGAAUUUUAUCAACAUUAUUAAGCUUAUCAUAUGUGAUAAGAGCAAAAGCACUGAGUAAUGUAAGUUUUGGUAAGAUAAACCACAAUAUUAUGAAAUGGAAACAGAAAUAGGACUUGGAUUUCUUUUUACAUUAAACUUUUUUUAAAUUUUGAGAUAAAAGUAGAAUUACAUGUGGUUGUAAAAAAUAAUACAGAGCAAUCUCUCCCACCCUUUAUCCAGUCCUCCACCAAGGGCAAUAUAUUGCAAAGCUAUAGUAAAACGACAUCAAAACCCAGAAAUUAGCAUUGAUAAUACCAAGCAGUGCUGAACUCCAUGUUAAUAGCAGAGUUAGUUUUUAAGAAAAUGCCAAUCUUUUUGUUUCCAAAGUUGUUGUAACAGCUUGGCACCAUCAAUAUUCAAGUG
rnacentral:lncRNA from 1 species